rnacentral:misc_RNA from 1 species
GAUGAAGAACGUAGUGAAAUGCGAUAAUUAAUGUGAAUUGCAGAAUUCAGUGAAUCAUCGAGUCUUUGAACGCACAUUGCGCCCCCUGGUAUUCCGGGGGGCAUGCCUGUCCGAGCGUCAUUGCUGCCCUCAAGCACGGCUUGUGUGUUGGGCUUCCGUCCCUGGCAACGGGGACGGGCCCAAAAGGCAGUGGCGGCACCAUGUCUGGUCCUCGAGCGUAUGGGGCUUUGUCACCCGCUCCCGUAGGUCCAGCUGGCAGCUAGCCUCGCAACCAAUCUUUUUAACCAGGUUGACCUCGGAUCAGGUAGGGAUACCCGCUGAACUUAAGCAUAUCAAUAAUCGGAGGA